UUGUGUGAAUUGAUGUGAGUUUAGGUUUUUAAAAUUAGGGUUCGUCGGAUUUGGAAAGUAGGGUUCGUGGAAUUGGGGAAAAAGGAAUUCAUUUUCUUUGUAUAAUCUGGGUAAUUUGAAUCAUGAAUGAAUGUCUCUAUGUAUUCUUCUAUAGCAACAAAAAUCUUAAUCUGGGUAAGAUUCUUCCAUUUUGUUUAUAGUCAGUGUUGUUUAUUUGUCUCUAUGUAUUUUUAUAUAGCAACAAAAAUUGUCAUGUGAAUGGAAAAAAAUGACUAGACAUGAGAUACAUUGUAUAUUGAAGUUUUGAACCCAUUUAUUUUUCAUCUUUGAUGCGUCUGACUUCCAUGUCUUCUUCCCAUGUUGUGAGCAAAGUCUUCUUCUGUUAAGACUUCAAAUAGCUCCAAUAGACAUAAAAUAAAUGCUUUGUUAGAAAACGAUAUACAAUUAUUAUUUUGUUUGACGGGAAAACUAUAGUUACUUAGAUAAGGGGAUACAUGCUGCUGAGUACCACUCAAUUGUGAGAAUGCCUUCUGGUGAAUUUUCCAGGAAAUGCAAAGAUCUCAGUAGUAUUGGUGACACAGUUGUGAUCUCUGUGACAAAAGAAGGGGUGAAGUUUUCAACAGUAGGCCAAGAUCUUUCACUUCGGAUCUAUCAGUUUGAUUGGGAAUUAAGCUGCAAGGAAAAAGAUCAUGAGUAUCUGAAAUUUAGUUGAUGUUAGAAAGUUUGGAGACCACAAGUACUCAUUUUAUGCUUUGUACACCAUGUAUUAUUGGAUUGCUUUGCUAUAAAUAUCACCAUGUAUUACACUAUAUUUUUCAUUCCCUUUUGUUAUCUUUUAUUCAAAUCAAUACAAAACUCUCUUUCUCUU